UACGGAGGGGGCUAGCGUUGUUCGGAAUUACUGGGCGUAAAGCGCACGUAGGCGAUAUUUAAGUCAGGGGUGAAAUCCCGGGGCUCAACCCCGGAACUGCCUUUGAUACUGGGUAUCUGGAGGUCGAGAGAGGCGAGUGGAAUUCCGAGUGUAGAGGUGAAAUUCGUAGAUAUUCGGAGGAACACCAGUGGCGAAGGCGGCUCGCUGGCUCGAUACUGACGCUGAGGUGCGAAAGCGUGGGGAGCAACAGG
rnacentral:rRNA from 1 species